UUGCGGAGUGACUAUAUUAUUGAGCAAUCUUAGCAAUCCUUUGCCGGUUCGUCUGCCGUACUAUUUCUUCCAGAUUCACGGCCCGGACAUCGCGUCCAGCACGAUCCGCCCAAUCAGGCGCAUCGUGGCCGCCGACCCCACAGGGUCGAGCCGGCCCCCGGGCUACGCACCGCCCAGAAGGUGGAGCGAGGUGAGCCGGCGCCAACAGCGACGAGCCAGGACGAGUUUCCCGAAGGGAGGUCAAUGACCUCCCU
rnacentral:sRNA from 1 species